rnacentral:rRNA from 1 species
UGGCGGCGUGCCUAACGACAUGCAAGUCGAGCGAGGAGAUCCUUCGGGAUGAUCCUAGCGGCGGACGGGUGAGUAACACGUGGGCAACCUGCCUCAUAGAGAGGAAUAGCCUUCCGAAAGGGAGAUUAAUACCUCAUAACAUUGCAGUUUCGCAUGGAACAGCAAUUAAAGGAGUAAUCCGCUAUGAGAUGGGCCCGCGGCGCAUUAGCUAGUUGGUGAGGUAACGGCUCACCAAGGCGACGAUGCGUAGCCGACCUGAGAGGGUGAUCGGCCACAUUGGGACUGAGACACGGCCCAGACUCCUACGGGAGGCAGCAGUAGGGAAUCUUCCGCAAUGGACGAAAGUCUGACGGAGCAACGCCGCGUGAGUGAAGAAGGUUUUUUCCGGGAUCGUAAAACUCUGUUGUCAGAGAAGAACAAGUUGGAGAGUAACUGCUCCAGCCUUGACGGUAUCUGACCAGAAAGCCACGGCUAACUACGUGCCAGCAGCAGC